CCGAGUUUACAACUCCCAAACCCCUGUGAACAUACCACUUGUUGCCUCGGCGGAUCAGCCCGCGCCCCGUAAAAAGGGACGGCCCGCCCGAGGACCCCUAAACUCUGUUUUUAGUGGAACUUCUGAGUAAAACAAACAAAUAAAUCA
rnacentral:misc_RNA from 1 species